GCUGGAUGUCCUUCACCUGGGGCACUAAGUCUCCACGUGUCGGCUCUCAAACCAGGUCCCUGGGUGAUUCCUUGGAGCACCUAGAAUGCGGAACUCCAAGGACUUGUCAGACAGAGACUAAGAAGUCGAGGCUUGUUUACCAUCACCGUGGAAACCCCCAGCAGCGCGCGAGGCGGGGCUUCUGAGGGGCGGAACCAGAUGGGAAGCUUCUAGAAACCUUACCACUUCCGGCGUUGCCGGAGUGCCACAUCCCGCAUACCUGGAAGAGAAGCCGGUGGACCCACGUCUCCAUCCAACUGUCGACUGCAGGCGUGACCGCGAGCUGGCCCCUCAUGAUCUCCCCCUUUAUCAGGGAGGCGGCCAAGUCCAGCCUUCAGGCCAUAAGGACAGCGGCGAGGCGGGGCCUCAGCGGCCAACGCCCGGAGGUGGGGCUGCGGUGGCGCUAUUGUUACGUGGCUAGAGCGCAUUCGAAGCGGGCGAGCCCGAGAGAAGGUAGUGGCUGCGCAGGCGCCGAGCUUGUCUGUAGAAGGAAGGCGGGUAGGAGAACCCGGCUCUGCAGAGCGCCCCUGAGACCUUAACUACCGGCUGAGCACCGCUGUGGAAGUGAACGGGAGUCCAUCCGAAGGACUCCUGAUUUGAAACCCUCAUGAGAGAAGGAAAUGAACGCCCUUUCCUAGGAAGGAAGAAAGGAAACGGAGAAGUCCGGAGACGGGACGGGCAUGACUUGAGUUGAGGAGUGAGAAACAUAGGUCUUGGGAAGACAGACAUUUGGGUCUUUGCUGUGUACCCUCAGGUUACUAAAAGUGACACCUGGUUCCCAUGGGAGGCAAGACUGGCUUCUGGCCUGGUUCUCAGGGACAAAUGCAGUGGCAGUAGAUGUACCUUUGCUCCUGGAGAAAAGCGUCCAUUUGUAUGUGUUUAAAGUCUCGGCUACCUUCAGACAUGGCGUGUUUGCUCUAAACAAGGCAGACAGUUCCCCAGCCCUCGCUGAGGAGUUAAGUGAAUGCACACUGUAUCAGAGACCAUGAUUUAUCAUAUUUGAGGGGAUGGGGUGUAGCUAAGUGGUGGUGUUGCCUACCUAGCAUGUGUAAGGUCACAGUAUGAUCUCCAGCAACACACCUACGCCAACAUCCUUUCCAUCUAAAUGUAGUCAAGUGCAACACUGUUAAAAAUAAUAAUAAAAUUGGGCUGGGGAUGUGGCUCAAGCGGUAGCGCGCUUGCCUGGCAUGUGCGCGGCCCGGGUUCGAUCCUCAGCACCACAUACAAAGAUAUUGUGUCCCCCGAAAACUAAAAAAUAAACAUUAAAAAAAAUUAAAAAUAAAUAAUAAUAAUAAUAAUAAAGAAAAAAACUCUUUUGCAAAAGUUAGUCUCCAAGGAGGAGCCUUAUUUUUACUUUUCACUAGGGUGGUGGUGGUGGUUAUUUCAUCAUGAAUGACCCUGGUGUAAAUCACAGAAAUAGUCAGUCACAACAGCUCUCCAGUCCCAAUCUCCAGGUUCUGACUCUUCUCUGACAUUUCAGAAAUCCCUCCUGAGUCUCCCCAUACCCACUCAAAUACACAUGCAGCCAUCAGUUACUCAAAGUGUAGAAAUCACUCAAGCUGUAAGUGGAUUAAAAAUGCCAAUGGGUAGGAGAAGUUGUGGUAAGGCAGCAUUAUCAAAGAGGAAGGAAGGUCACUUUUUUUUUUCUUUUUUGUUGUGGGGAUUAUUUUUUAUUUGUUUAUUUUGAGACAGGGAUUCACUACAUUGCCCAGGCUGACCUUGAACUUGUGAUCCUCCUCCUCAGCCUCCUGAAUUGCUAGGAUUACAGGCUUGUACCACUGUACCUAGGUAGAAAGUCUCUUUCAACCUUGUAAGUACAUCUCUUCAGGAACAUGAGAAUUAACACAGCAAGGGAAGACAUUGGGCUCUGACAUUGCUGAGAGCCAUAGCCAAGUAGGAAUGAAGCAUGGCAUUUUGGUUUGAAAGGUGACCCUGCUCAGGGAUUAGGGUGGCUCCGGGUUUAGGGUGGAUCCUGCUGGGAAUAGGGCGGCUUCAGGAUUACCGCAUAUCCUGCUGCCUCAGGUGCCCACUCCUUUGGAGUUCUUGCGGGGGUUCUGAGAGAAUUGGUACGCAGAGCUCGGUGGAGGGAGUAUUUUCCCAGGUAGUGUGUGUAGAG
rnacentral:lncRNA from 1 species